UGAGUCGCUUUGAGCCACCCAGCAGCCCCCCUUCCUGCCACCUGCCAGGAUCAGGUUGGACAAGAAGAGAGGGAACAGCAGCCUGGCAGAUGCUGCCACGUGGUAU
rnacentral:lncRNA from 1 species